rnacentral:tRNA from 1 species
UGGGCUGUCGCCAAGCGGUAAGGCACCGGGUUUUGAUCCCGUCAUUCGCAGGUUCGAUCCCUGCCAGCCCAGCCA